UCCAACACCAAACAUGUAUUUCAUCUUCAAAUACAAAAUCAGGUCAUUCUAAUGUCAGAAAUAACAGGAUUGUCCCAAUUCAAACGACAGAAAUAGAAAGAAGCAAGUCCAUAGUCAUAUGUAUGGAGAUCUGAACUUGGAGCUCUUCAUUCUUUCAGAGAAAGGGGCUACCAGUAAGCAAGGCGUCCACGAAAUCCUCAUCCCAUAUCUGCAACCAACCAAGACCUUAUGUUAAUCCACCGACAUGCCCGAAAGAGAUAAAAUUCAACAGUAUAUGCUUG
rnacentral:lncRNA from 1 species